GGAACAGAAGAAAGAAAGAAAGAAAGAGAAUGUGAAAUUGUGAAUUCCAUACUGCAGUCACUUAAUAUGUCAUUUGAAAAAUAAAAACGGAAGAAAAGCUCACACACUCAGAAGCAAAUGAAAAUGAGAUAUGGAAGACCUGAUACUGACGAUUGUACAGCAGAAAUUUCUCAAUAUUCAAAUUAGGCAACAGCAACAUAGGAAAUAAGAUUAAUCAGCAAAAUUGAAAGAAAUGAUGAUAAAAUCUAUCAAUAGGUACAAAAAUUUCUUCAAAAUCUCAAUCAGGCAUAAAAGGAAGGAAAUCUAAUUUAUUAACGGGAAAAAACAAUUAAGGGAGCAGAGUACC
rnacentral:misc_RNA from 1 species